AACGCACAUUGCGCCCUUUGGUAUUCCGAAGGGCAUGCCUGUUCGAGCGUCAUUAUCAACCCUCAAGCCCGGCUUGUUAUUGGGUCCUGUAUCGUUAAAGAUAGGCCCGAAAGAUAAUGGCGGUGUCACGAAUGACCCCAGAUGCAGCGAGCUUAUAGCAUACAUCGAAAGGUUUUCGGGACCCGGCCUUAACGGACACUUGUGUCCAAUUUUUCAAAGGUUGACCUCGGAUCAGGUAGGAAUACCCGCUGAACUUAA
rnacentral:misc_RNA from 1 species